rnacentral:rRNA from 1 species
GAUGAACGCUGGCGGCGUGCCUAAUACAUGCAAGUCGAGCGAACGGACGAGAAGCUUGCUUCUCUGAUGUUAGCGGCGGACGGGUGAGUAACACGUGGAUAACCUACCUAUAAGACUGGGAUAACUUCGGGAAACCGGAGCUAAUACCGGAUAAUAUUUUGAACCGCAUGGUUCAAAAGUGAAAGACGGUCUUGCUGUCACUUAUAGAUGGAUCCGCGCUGCAUUAGCUAGUUGGUAAGGUAACGGCUUACCAAGGCAACGAUGCAUAGCCGACCUGAGAGGGUGAUCGGCCACACUGGAACUGAGACACGGUCCAGACUCCUACGGGAGACAGCAGUAGGGAAUCUUCCGCAAAGGGCGAAAGCCUGACGGAGCAACGCCGCGUGAGUGAUGAAGGUCUUCGGAUCGUAAAACUCUGUUAUUAGGGAAGAACAUAUGUGUAAGUAACUGUGCACAUCUUGACGGUACCUAAUCAGAAAGCCACGGCUAACUACGUG